rnacentral:rRNA from 1 species
GACGUAGGGCGCGAGCGUUGUCCGGAUUUAUUGGGCGUAAAGAGCUCGUAGGCGGCUUGUCGCGUCGUCCGUGAAAACCUGGGGCUCAACCCCAGGCUUGCGGUCGAUACGGGCAGGCUCGAGUUCGGUAGGGGAGACUGGAAUUCCUGGUGUAGCGGUGAAAUGCGCAGAUAUCAGGAGGAGCACCGGUGGCGAAGGCGGGUCUCUGGGCCGAUACUGACGCUGAGGAGCGAAAGCGUGGGGAGCGAACAGG